rnacentral:rRNA from 1 species
GGGAGCUUGACGGUACUGUAGGAAUAAGGAUCGGCUAACUCCGUGCCAGCAGCCGCGGUAAUACGGAGGAUCCAAGCGUUAUCCGGAAUCAUUGGGUUUAAAGGGUCCGUAGGCGGUCUUAUAAGUCAGGUGGUGAAAGCCCAUCGGUCAGCGAUGGAACUGCCAUUGAUACUGUAAGACUUGAAUGCUUAGGAAGUAACUAAAAUAUGUAGUGUAGCGGUGAAAUGCUUAAAUAUUACAUGGAAUACCAAUUGCGAAGGCAGGUUACUACUAAGUGAUUGACGCUGAUGGACGAAAGCGUGGGGAGCGAACAGGAUUAGAUACCCUGGUAGUCCACGCCGUAAACGAUGGAUACUAGCUGUUCGGCGCAAGUUGAGUGGCUAAACGAAAGUGAUAAGUAUCCCACCUGGGGAGUACGCACGCAAGUGUGAAACUCAAAGGAAUUGA